AUUGAACGCUGGCGGCAUGCCUAACACAUGCAAGUCGAGCGGAAGAACGGAGCUUUCUCCCGGAUUCCGCGGCGGACGGGUGAGUAAUGCCCAGGAAUAUGCCUGGUAGUGGGGGAUAACGUCCGGAAAAGGGCGCUAAUAUCGCAUACGCCCUGAGGGUGAAAGUGCGGGAUCUUCGGACCUCACGCUCUCAGAUGAGCCUAGGUCGGAUUAGCUAGUUGGUGGGGUAAAGACCUACCAAGGCGACGAUCCGUAUCUGGUCUGAGAGGAUGAUCCGCCACACUGGAACUGAGACACGGCCCAGACUCCUACGGGAGGCAGCAGUGGGGAAUUUUGGACAAUGGGCGAAAGCCUGAUCCAGCAAUGCCGCGUGUGUGAAGAAGGUCUUCGGAUUGUAAAGCACUUUAAGUUGGGAGGAAAUACAGUGAGUUAAUACCGUGCUGUUUUGACGGUACCGACAGAAUAAGCACCGGCUAACUACGUG
rnacentral:rRNA from 1 species